rnacentral:rRNA from 1 species
CGCACUCUUCGGAGUGAGCGGCGGACGGGUUAGUAACGCGUGGGAGCGUGCCCUUCUCUAAGGAAUAGCCACUGGAAACGGUGAGUAAUACCUUAUACGCCCUUCGGGGGAAAGAUUUAUCGGAGAAGGAUCGGCCCGCGUUAGAUUAGAUAGUUGGUGGGGUAAUGGCCUACCAAGUCUACGAUCUAUAGCUGGUUUUAGAGGAUGAUCAGCAACACUGGGACUGAGACACGGCCCAG